rnacentral:rRNA from 1 species
UUAGCCGUAGGAGGGUAGCCGCGGCUGUUUAUGCCGUCAUGCGUAAUUGUUGGUGAUUGUGAUAACGUAAGGGAAAAAAAUGAUAUUACCUUACUAUUAGUGUUGUCCAAAACUGGUGCCAGAAGACUCGGUAAGGCCAGAGACGCAAACGUUAGUCGUCCUAAUCAGGCGUAAAGGGUAUGUAGGCUGCUUUAAAAGUUUUAUUUAUAAAUAGCUCUGUAACCGUAAUAAUACAAUAAAUUUGUAUUAUAUAAAUUAUAUUUAGUCUUAUCUUUAAUUUAAUUCAUUUUUUUAAUUAAUCUGUAAGGGUUAAUUAUUGAUUUGGAAAAAAUAUAAAGAAUAUAGGCAAAAAUAAAUGAUAUUUAAAUGUUUAUAAAAUAACACUAAAAUAUACGUGUCACAGUAUAUAAUAAGAUGAAUUAAAGCUAGAAUCAAAUUGAGGAUAAACCGAAUAAUACUUAGAGUAGGGAUUAUAUCCGUAGAUACUAAGGGGAAUACUAAAGGUGAAAGCUUUUUAUCUAGUAAUGAUUGACGCUGAGAAACGAAGGUGAGAAUAGGAAAUAGGAUUAGAUACCCAGAUACCUCUCACUGUCAACGAUGAAUGGUGGUUGUUAGUUUUAAUAAAAACUGGUAACGAUGUUAACACGAUAACCAUUCCGCCUUGCGAGUACGGUUGCAAAACUGAAACCAAAAAAAUUAGUCGGUCUCGAAGCAAACGAAGUG